rnacentral:rRNA from 1 species
GUAGGUGGCAAGCGUUGUCCGGAAUUAUUGGGCGUAAAGCGCGCGCAGGCGGUUCUUCAAGUCUGAUGUGAAAGCCCACGGCUCAACCGUGGAGGGUCAUUGGAAACUGGAGAACUUGAGUACAGAAGAGGAAAGCGGAAUUCCACGUGUAGCGGUGAAAUGCGUAGAGAUGUGGAGGAACACCAGUGGCGAAGGCGGCUUUCUGGUCUGUAACUGACGCUGAGGCGCGAAAGCGUGGGGAGCAAACAGGAUUAGAUACCCUGGUAGUCCACGCCGUAAACGAUGAGUGCUAAGUGUUAGGGGGUUUCCGCCCCCCUUAGUGCUGCAGCUAACGCAUUAAGCACUCCGCCCUGGGAGUACGGCCGCAAGGCUG